rnacentral:lncRNA from 1 species
UUUUACACAGGUUCACUGGUUGCUUACAUUUUCUGUUUUCUCCAUUUGCUGUACAUACCUGUAUGUCUCUCUCUACACACACAUUUCUGUUUCUAUUUCUGUUACUAUUUCUAUUUCUAGCUCUAACUCUAGUUAUGGCUUUUAUCCCCUAAGUCAUUUGAGAGUAAGUUUGGAGACACUAUGCCCCUUACUAAAUAUUCAGUGCAUAUUUUACUUUUUUAAAAAAAAUAAUAUCCUCUUAUAUAACUACGCUGUGAUUAUCAAGACCAGGAAAUUUAACAUUGACACAGUAUCAUUAGCUAAUCCACGUUCCAUAUUCUCUCUUCAUCCAUUGCCUUAUAAUAUCUUUUCUAACCAUUUGGUUUUUCCAGCCCAAGAUCUAAUCCCGUAUCGCAUUAGUUGUCAUGUUUUGCUAGUCCCCUUUAGUCUGGAACAGUUUCUCAGUCAUUUUUUCUGUUUCUGACCUUGAUAUUUAUGAAGAUUAAAAGUCAGUUAUUUUGUAAAAUGUCCCCCACAUUGAAUCUGGCUGUUUCCUUAUGAUUAGAUUCAGGUUAUGCAUUUUUGGCAGGAAAACUGAAGAAGUAAUUGCUGUCCUUCUGCGUACAUCAUAUCAGGAGGUUUUAGUGUGAACGUUUGAUCCUUAGAGAUUUUAAUCCACCUGCCUUCUUAGGCCUCCAGUAGGCAGCCUGAGAUACCUGGUGGUGUCUGCUACCCAAAUCCAGCUCCGAUGCUCUAGCUAAAGAAGAAGAAUCUCCUGCAACUCCUGAGUCAUUUUGGUACUGGUGUCUGGGAAGGUGAUACCUCUCCUUCAUCCCUGGCCUCUACCCACUUGUCAGUACAAACCCCUAGUUGAG